rnacentral:rRNA from 1 species
UACGAAGGGGGCUAGCGUUGUUCGGAAUCACUGGGCGUAAAGGGUGCGUAGGCGGGAUCUUAAGUCAGGGGUGAAAUCCCGAGGCUCAACCUCGGAACUGCCUUUGAUACUGGGGUCCUUGAGUCCGGAAGAGGUGAGUGGAACUGCGAGUGUAGAGGUGAAAUUCGUAGAUAUUCGCAAGAACACCGGUGGCGAAGGCGGCUCACUGGUCCGGAACUGACGCUGAGGCACGGACAGCGUGGGGAGCAAACAGGG